GACGAACGCUGGCGGCGUGCUUAACACAUGCAAGUCGUACGGUAAGGCCCUUUCGGGGGUACCCGAGUGGCGAACGGGGGCGUAAGACGUGAGUAACCUGCCCACAACUUUGGGAUAACGCUAGGAAACUGGUGCAAAUACUGCAAAUAUCCUCCUGCUGCAUGGUGGGGGUUGGAAAGCUCCGGCGGUUUUGGGUGGACUCGCGGCCUAUCGGCUUGUUGGUGGGGUAGUGGCGUACCAAGGCGGCAACGGGUAGCCGGCCUGUGAGGGUGAGAGGCCACAUUGGGUCUGAGGGACGGCCCAGACUCCGACGGGAGGCAGCAGUGGGGAAUAUUGCACAAGGGGCGCAAGCCUGAUGCAGCAACGCCGCGUGCGGGAUGACGGCCUUCUGGUUGAAAACCGCUUUCAGCAGGGACGAAGCUUUUUGUGACGGUACCUGCAGAAGAAGCACCGGCUAACUACGUG
rnacentral:rRNA from 1 species